GACGAACGCUGGCGGCGUGCUUAACACAUGCAAGUCGAACGGAAAGGCCCUGCUUUUGUGGGGUGCUCGAGUGGCGAACGGGUGAGUAACACGUGAGUAACCUGCCCUUGACUUUGGGAUAACUUCAGGAAACUGGGGCUAAUACCGGAUAGGAGCUCCUGCUGCAUGGUGGGGGUUGGAAAGUUUCGGCGGUUGGGGAUGGACUCGCGGCUUAUCAGCUUGUUGGUGGGGUAGUGGCUUACCAAGGCUUUGACGGGUAGCCGGCCUGAGAGGGUGACCGGGCACAUUGGGACUGAGAUACGGCCCAGACUCCUACGGGAGGCAGCAGUGGGGAAUAUUGCACAAUGGGCGGAAGCCUGAAGCAGCAACGCCGCGUGCGGGAUGACGGCCUUCGGGUUGUAAACCGCUUUCGCCUGUGACGAAGCGGGAGUGACGGUAAUGGGUAAAGAAGCACCGGCUAACUACGUG
rnacentral:rRNA from 1 species